rnacentral:rRNA from 1 species
AUUGAACGCUGGCGGCAGGCCUAACACAUGCAAGUCGAGCGGAUGAAGGGAGCUUGCUCCUGGAUUCAGCGGCGGACAGGUGAGUAAUGCCUAGGAAUCUGCCUGGUAGUGGGGGAUAACGUCCGGAAACGGGCGCUAAUACCGCAUACGUCCUGAGGGAGAAAGUGGGGGAUCUUCGGACCUCACGCUCUCAGAUGAGCCUAGGUCGGAUUAGCUAGUUGGUGGGGUAAAGGCCUACCAAGGCGACGAUCCGUAACUGGUCUGAGAGGAUGAUCAGUCACACUGGAACUGAAACACGGUCCAGACUCCUACGGGAGGCAGCAGUGGGGAAUAUUGGACAAUGGGCGAAAGCCUGAUCCAGCCAUGCCGCGUGUGUGAAGAAGGUCUUCGGAUUGUAAAGCACUUUAAGUUGGGAGGAAGGGCAGUAAGUUAAUACCUUGCUGUUUUGACGUUACCAACAGAAUAAGCACCGGCUAACUUCGUG